rnacentral:rRNA from 1 species
GGUGAACGCUGGCGGCGUGCCUAAUACAUGCAAGUCGAGCGAACAGACGAGGAGCUUGCUCCUCUGACGUUAGCGGCGGACGGGUGAGUAACACGUGGAUAACCUACCUAUAAGACUGGGAUAACUUCGGGAAACCGGAGCUAAUACCGGAUAAUAUAUUGAACCGCAUGGUUCAAUAGUGAAAGACGGUUUUGCUGUCACUUAUAGAUGGAUCCGCGCCGCAUUAGCUAGUUGGUAAGGUAAGGGCUUACCAAGGCAACGAUGCGUAGCCGACCUGAGAGGGUGAUCGGCCACACUGGAACUGAGACACGGUCCAGACUCCUACGGGAGGCAGCAGUAGGGAAUCUUCCGCAAUGGGCGAAAGCCUGACGGAGCAACGCCGCGUGAGUGAUGAAGGUCUUCGGAUCGUAAAACUCUGUUAUUAGGGAAGAACAAAUGUGUAAGUAACUAUGCACGUCUUGACGGUACCUAAUCAGAAAGCCACGGCUAACUACGUG